GAUGAACGCUGGCGGCGUGCCUAAUACAUGCAAGUCGAGCGAACAGACGAGGAGCUUGCUCCUCUGACGUUAGCGGCGGACGGGUGAGUAACACGUGGAUAACCUACCUAUAAGACUGGGAUAACUUCGGGAAACCGGAGCUAAUACCGGAUAAUAUAUUGAACCGCAUGGUUCAAUAGUGAAAGACGGUUUUGCUGUCACUUAUAGAUGGAUCCGCGCCGCAUUAGCUAGUUGGUAAGGUAACGGCUUACCAAGGCGACGAUGCGUAGCCGACCUGAGAGGGUGAUUGGCCAACCCGGAACUGAGACACGGUCCAGGACCCUAAGGGAGGCAGCAGUAGGGAAUCUUCCGGAAUGGGGGAAAGCCUGACGGAGCAACGCCGCGUGAGUUAUGAAGGUCUUAGGAUCGUAAAACUCUGUUAUUAGGGAAGAACAAAUGUGUAAGUAACUAUGCACGUCUUGACGGUACCUAAUCAGAAAGCCACGGCUAACUACGUG
rnacentral:rRNA from 1 species